rnacentral:lncRNA from 1 species
GCCUUGGGGGUGGCCAGCGGGGGCACAGAGCCCCCCGGCUGUCCUCAGGGCUGGUGGUGGCCCCCAACGGCCACAGUCAGUCUCCUUAAGGGCACCUCUUUCUGCCUUUCACUGGNNNNNNNNNNNNNNNNNNNNNNNNNNNNNNCCGCGGGCUGUGAGGCGCCAACCCAGGGGGUGUCGGAGCGGGGACGCGCAGUCAACCGUGCUGUAUAGAACUGCUGGACGCAAAGUUUGAAGGAAACGAGGACUUCUGUUGAGAAAAUGGAGGGAAUGUUGUGGGAUACCGCGGAAGAGAGAAGAUGGGAGCUCGAGGCGUAGAGCCGACCGCGAGAGGCGCUAACGGAAGGGCGCCGCGGGGAAGCGCCGAGCGAGCCCACCGCCUUGGCCUCCUGGAGCGGGCGGGCUCAAACCCGGCCUCUUCGCAGGGACCGCAGCGUAUGUAUGGGAUGCAACUCUAAGCUGUUUGUACCAUAACAUCUUAAUAAUUUGUGCUGUAUAUUUGCAAAUACGUGAUGUGGAGGGUUUGAGACUUGGCCCUUUGCCUGGAAUAAUGUCCAAGGAUAGGAAUUUAAUUUCUCACUUACCAUCUAAUACAAGUCUAGCAUCAAAAUUGAGGUGAGUGCUCAGUAGGCUUAAAGAGAAGACCCUUUUCUUCCUUUCUCCUUACAUGUCAGCAAAACAGGCAUCACAAUGCACUGUGUGGUAUGUGCAUGGUACAUCAGAUACAAAAUAGCAAGUGAUAUCAUGUUAGAAUAUAAAGGUCUUUAGCUUAGAACUCUAGUCUAUAAAUUACAUAUGUGGGUGUAAAUUCAGUCUGGUUGUUGAAAAACACAAAAUCAAUUGUACAGAAAGGAACCCUAACUCAAGUUUACAGAUAAUUGAAGCACAAUGUGAUGAAGGAUAUGCCCAAAGUAAUGAGGAGGUUCAAUGCCAGGGUUAGUUAUUUAAUAUCCCUCAGUCUUUUCAUGCCUUGCUUCGUUUGUAGGAAACAGAAAAGCUAGACUAAAUAUAAACUAAAUAUGAAACAGUGUUUUAAACUGACAGUUUUAACAAAUCCUAUUUCCCUUAGAACUGCUCUGAAAGACGUUUUUGAACACUUGUGAAGGCAGUACUAAUGUGCUGAGUUAGCACUAGCUCAUGCUAAAAUCCAAAUGUAAUGUAGCUCAUAUUAAAAAACUUACAAUACAGCUGUACAAAUUUUCUGUUUUAAGAAACUAUUUGGGAUUAUAAAUGCAAAACACUGAAAAACAGAAUGAUGCUGCAUUUAAUACAUUUUCAUACUUGUAUCACUGUAAUAUUAGCAAAGUGGAGCUUCCCCCUGCCCCCACCCAGGGUUCUGUAGAAGAGAUGUCUCUGUUAUUGCUGCUAUAAAAUACAAAAUAAGUCUAAAGUAGUAGUAGAAAAUGGCGCUUUUCUGAGGAAGCUGCACUCUCAUUCAUGGCAAAAAAAGAUACUUUAUAAUGAGAGGAUUCCCAGAUAUAGUCUGACAAUUUUCAAAGACUUGAUGAAUACACAAGCUCUUUCAGGUCUGUUUUUUAAAAGACAACUUGUCUGGUUUCUUUUUGUGUAUAUGGUGUGUAAUCUUAAAGUAUGUGUGUUAUGAGCAAGAACUGGAAGCUUUUAUAUGUGUAUUCCAGUUUCAUAAAAUACAGUCUUUCUUGAUCUAUCUUGCCAAAACAUGAACUCAGUGAAACAAGAGAUUUUCUAUCACUAGAUGCUUUCCAAUCUAAUGUGGAUGUCUUCCCAGUUUAAAUUAGGAGUUUGGAAAAUUCUAUGAUCUUUUGUAAAGUGUUUAGAUUAGACAGAGUAGUAAUAUUUUCUGAGUUCUGAUUUCUUAAAUAAAAGUAGUUCCCUACCUUCUUUCCCA